AUUAAGGUAUAUAACUCAACCUUGAUGACCAAGAAGGGAAUAAUUAUUAAAUAAUACAAUAUACAGUCUUGAACUGGAGACUACAUAUCCCAUGAGCCACCAGUGCUCAGGUCCUUUGACUCACCACAGCCCCUGCCCAUGCUCCUGCCAUGGAUAAUCCAGCCAUUAGAGCAAGGCGGAUGAAAUACAGGAUGGUGGCUCUGCAGUAAGUGCCCUGAGUGAGGGGUCAUUUUAAUUCCACCUCGAGACAGACGGAUGACGAUGGAUUGAGCGAGGGAUAAAGUAAAGGAGAGAAGGUGACAAUGGUGAUUAGCACUGCAGCAGCAGGACAAGAGGUGGGAAGAAAGAGGGUCCUGUUCUUGGCUGACAGGAGUGGAACCUAGUUUGGUCUUCUGCUGUUGUAGCCCAUCCACAUCAAGGUGUUGUGUCUUCUGAGAUACUUUUCUACUCACCACAGAUGUAAAGAGUGGUUAUUCGAGUUACUGUCGACUUCCUGUCAGCUCAAACCACUCUGGUCAUUCUACUCUGACCUCUUUCAUCAAAAAGGUGUUUCUUCUUGCAAAACUGCCACUCAGUGGAUGUGUUUUGUUUUUCGCACCACUCUGUGUAAGCACUAUAGACGGUUGUGUAUGAAAAUCCUAGAUCACUUUCUGAGAUACUCAAACCAGCAUGUCUGGCACCAACAACCUUGCCAUGAUCAACAGUACAGUAUUAUACAAGUUAAUGCAAAUAAAAUAAGUCUAGGUGUGUGUGAAGGUGUGGUAUUAAGUUAAACAAGAAAUGGAGGAAUGUGAAAGGAAAUAAAAUCACCUUUUGUUUCAGAUCUUCAAGUACCAGCCAUUCUUAACACGUUUAAUUGUCUUCAUUACACCCAAGUAAUAAUAAACUUAACAUCUGUAAAAUA